CACCUAAUCUAGGCAAAAAUAAUGGGGGUUUAGUUACAUUAUAUGAUCAUACAUUGCAUAAGCCUGUAUGAUCAUAUAAUGUAACUAAAACCCCCAUUAUUUUUGCCUAGAUUAGGUG